rnacentral:rRNA from 1 species
UACAGAGGUCCCAAGCGUUGUUCGGAUUCACUGGCGUAAAGGGUGCGUAGGCGGUCUUUAAGUCAGGGUGAAUCCUGGAGCUCAACUCCAGAACUGCCUUUGAUACUGAAGAUCUUGAGUUCGGAGAGGUGAGUGGAACUGCGAGUGUAGAGGUGAAAUUCGUAGAUAUUCGCAAGAACACCAGUGGCGAAGGCGCUCACUGGCCGAUACUGACGCUGAGCACGAAGCGUGGGAGCAACAGG